rnacentral:rRNA from 1 species
CCUANGGGUGGCAGCAGCAGGGAGUAUUGCGCAAUGGGCGAAAGCCUGACGCAGCCACGCCGCGUGGAUGAUGAAGGCCUUCGGGUCGUAACGUCCUUUUAUGAGGGAAGAAAGGUCCGGUGAGGAAAUGCUCCGGAUUUGACGGUACCUCAGGAAUAAGCCACGGCUAACUCUGUGCCAGCAGCCGCGGUAAUACAGAGGUGGCUAGCGUUGUUCGGAAUUACUGGGCGUAAAGGGAGCGCAGGCGGCCAGGCAAGUCUGAAGUGCAAGCCCGGGGCUCAACCCCGGAAUCGCUUUGGAAACUGCCAGGCUUGAGUAUGUCAGAGGUGAGCGGAAUUCCAGGUGUAGCGGUGAAAUGCGUAGAUAUCUGGAGGAACAUCCGUGGCGAAGGCGGCUCACUGGGACACAACUGACGCUGAGGCUCGAAAGCGUGGGGAGCGAACGGGAUUAGAUACCCUANUANUC